AAAAAAAGAAAUGAAAAAAGUGACUUUUUCCUCUUUCAUUGGAAGGAAACCUAGCAUAUAACCAAUGAGACGACUCCCAGUAAAUAUGCAGUGCCAUCUUGAUUGCUCUUGGUGACUAUCCAUACUUAAAAGAGACUGUUCCUUUCUGUAUUUUAAUAAAUCCUUAACUCUGUUUCUUAUACUCUUCUAUCUCCCAUACUUACUUUGCAAAUUCCCCUAUGAUCAAGGAUUAGCACAACACUGAGGGCUGAAAUGAAAAGAAGGAUCUAAGAGAAAAUACCUUGAAAGAGACGACAGAACUCAUCUUUGAUGGAACAAAGAAAAGGUUAAAAAAUUCUCUUUGGACACCUGAAAAAAAUGUUUUCUUUUUUUUUUUUUCUUAGAGAAUAAGCAGUUGGUGGGAGUCACCAGAUUAUCAGUUAUUUAACCUCUCAAGACUAGUGGCAGGUUUUUCCUUUCUUAUUUAGCUUAAAUGAUUAUUUAGGAGUUAGGUCCUCAGAAAGCAAGGAUUGUUUCCAAUUCUCUGUUAUCUUUGUACCACUUAGCCAGAAUAUCAUGCAUUUUAGGGGCUGUCAAUAAAUACACAAUGCAUUAAAUUCUCUUUGCGUUUCCAGAGGAAGCCGGUAGGGAAAAGAAAUAAAUGAAUGCCUGACUCAAGAGACUGAGAGUCUAUUUGAGUGAGGUGUGGGUCUAGUGGAAAUCUGCAGAAAAGAAUCUUGUAGAGGAAAAAUGACUCACAAGUAUGUGAGGGGGAAGACUUUUUAAUGUCAGUGUCCAUAUUUCCUGAUUAAAGUGAGGGUAUUUGCAUCAUGUUCUAGCAUUCUAAAUAUAAAAGCAGCUAAGAAUCUCCAAGAAUCCCUUAAAUUCUUAUUCAAGAACAAAAAGAAAUGAAUAGUUUAGAACUCAAAUAUUAUAAUAAAAAAGUAUUCUCUAGCGCAAUAAAAUCAUUACAAUAAAACUUGUUAGCUGAUUGGUUAGUGUUUUAGAGUGCUGUAAAUGCAUAGUAACUGAAAAAUGUUUCAGAAUUUAAAAAACAGGUCAUUGGUUAAUGAUUCAGAAUAAAGAAAUAUGUGAAUGGUCAGGACUAACAAUAAAGUUAGACUUUUUCUCCUAGAAAUAGUUUGUUAAAUGAUAUCUUUAAGGAUGCUUUUAAUAAUAUUUAUGCUUUAAACACACAUAUUUAAAAACAAGACAACACAGAACAUAUCACUAAUAGGAUGUAUUUUCCCCAUAGAAUGUGCUUGUUAAAAUUGUUCAAAAAUGAAUUAUUGCAUGUUUGUGUUCAGCCUAAAAAAUGCAAAACAUUGCUAAAAUCACUACACUAAUCUUUUGAAAAUAAGAUGCUAACAAUUUUUUAUGAAGAUAACCAUUUAAGUCAAUAUUCAGAAUUUUUCCUCAUGCUAAAAAUACGUUAUAUAUUUUAAAUCAAAACUCUUCUUGAAUAUGCAGAAGAAAACUGAGAACAAAAUGUGAAAUUUAGUAGAAGGAACAGUAGCUUUGGAGCUCUGGGAUCUGUCUUGACUUGUGACACAAAGCAUGUCACCCAGGCCUCUCUGAGAGAUGGGGUUAAUCCUAACAGAUGAGCUCCCUAGAGAGUAACUGUGAGAAUAAUUACCAUUAUAAAUAUGAUAUAAUGAAGUCCUCUCAGAAAAGAUGCUCUUUACAUCUGGCAGAAUCUUACUUGGUAAAGUCUUAUACGAUAAUUUGACCUUCACUCUAACUUAAAAUACACCAGAAUCCAGCCACUUCUCACCACCUCCACAGCUGCCGCCCUAACACAAGGCACCUGCACCUCUUGCCUGGAUUAUUGCCAUACCAGCCUCAGUGGCCUCCAUGCUUCAUCCUUACGCAUUAUCACCACCCCUAGCCUAAGCUGUUCUUUGCACAGAAACCAGAGUGAUCCUUUUAAUUCUAGAGCCAAAUCACAUAUGUCCACUGGUCAGAUCCCAAUGGUUUUCCAUCACACUCAGAAUAAAAUUUUGAAUCUUAACCAGAGCCUUUCAAGACCCUACAUGAUUUGCUCACCUCACUUCUUCACUGCGUCCCCUGCCACUGUCUCCUUGUUCACUCUAACGACCUCCCUCUUUACUCUUUGCUCAUACAUCCUAAUAGCAUUCCUGCCUCAGGGCAUUUGCACUUGCUAUUCCCCUAGUCUGGUCUGGAGAGCUCUUCUUUGGAUAUUCAUAUGACUCCCACCAUUCUUUCCUUCAAGGCUCAGCUCAAAUAAUAUCAUAUCAUAGAGACCUUUCCUGAUAGCCUUAUAUAAAAUGUCAUACCACAUAUAAUAGUCUGUUCUCAUCCUGCUAAUUAAGACAUACCCAAGACUGGGUGAUUUAUAAAGACAAAAAAGGUUUAACGGACUCACAGUUCCACAUGUCUGGGAGACCUCACAAUCAUGGCAGAAGUAAAAAGCCACAUCUUAACAUGGUGGCAGGCAAGAGAGAAGGAAAGCCAAGCAAAAGGGGAAACCCCUUAUAAAACCGCCAGAUCUCGUGAGACUUACUGCCACAAGAACAGUGUGGAGAAAGCUGC
rnacentral:lncRNA from 10 species